rnacentral:lncRNA from 1 species
CUGCGAGGCUGACAACACUUCGGCGGCGAUGUGCUAGAGGCCGUCGUCGAGAAUCUCCUUGUAAUUUGAGCGCCUGUUGGAUAUUUCAAUGUGAUUUUUGCAUAUGCAAGGGAAAUGAAUCUUGAUCGUUUGCUUGGCCGCAACUGUGGUAUUUACUGAGAUGUAGUGGAGGAGGCUGUUGGCGCCAAGAAUUAAGAGAAGGUUCUUGACUUGGAAAAGGGUCUUGAUGGCGGAGAGAGUGGUGUGGUUGGGAGAGUCAUAGUCUACUAAAGCGUUGUAUUUGGCGCCUUAAAAAGUGCACCAAAAUUGCUUCUUUUCUGUCUCUCGCCCCUGAUACCACCUCUACCUCUUAAUGCAGAGGGUUCUGCUUCAAUAUAUAAUGCAUCCGGGAUGAAUGACCCUAGGAGAGAGGAAAGUGAAACAAAAGAUGUUGAACUUAGCCCAAAACAUUGCAGCUUUAGUUUCCAAAGAAGGAAAUAAAGAGCUUUGCUGCUGUGGAAACGAAGUUCCCCACUAAAUGUGUAUGGAUCUUGUUUCGAAAUGGAAAGAGAUAUGAGAACAUAUACCUUCUGCUCAAUGAGUUUACAAAAUCGUGAUAUCAGGGGUGAAAGAGAGACCGACAUUGUUAGUGGUUGGGGUGAAGGAGAAGAAGUUUUUUUUUUCCUUUUUAUUUUGUUUUCUUCUUCUUCUUCUUCUUCUUCUUUUUGUUGUUGUUGUUGUUUUUUAUUUAAGUUUUUUAAUUUGAAAAAUAUAAAUUUACCAUUUU